rnacentral:rRNA from 1 species
GACGAACGCUGGCGGCGUGCUUAACACAUGCAAGUCGAACGGAAAGGCCCUGCUUUUGUGGGGUGCUCGAGUGGCGAACGGGUGAGUAACACGUGAGUAACCUGCCCUUGACUUUGGGAUAACUUCAGGAAACUGGGGCUAAUACCGGAUAGGAGCUCCUGCUGCAUGGUGGGGGUUGGAAAGUUUCGGCGGUUGGGGAUGGACUCGCGGCUUAUCAGCUUGUUGGUGGGGUAGUGGCUUACCAAGGCUUUGACGGGUAGCCGGCCUGAGAGGGUGACCGGCCACAUUGGGACUGGGAUACGGCCCAGACUCCUACGGGAGGCAGGAGUGGGGAAUGUUGCACAAUGAGCGGAAGCCUGAUGCAGCAACGCCGCGUGCGGGAUGACGGCCUUCGGGUUGUAAACCGCUUUCGCCUGUGACGAAGCGUGAGUGACGGUAAUGGGUAAAGAAGCACCGGCUAACUACGU